rnacentral:tRNA from 1 species
CUUUUGUAGUUUAUUAUUAAAAUAUCACCUUUUCAAUGUGAAGAAGCCUUUCCCAAAAGUU